rnacentral:rRNA from 1 species
UACGUAGGGGGCUAGCGUUAUCCGGAAUUACUGGGCGUAAAGGGUGCGUAGGUGGUUUCUUAAGUCAGAGGUGAAAGGCUACGGCUCAACCGUAGUAAGCCUUUGAAACUGAGAAACUUGAGUGCAGGAGAGGAGAGUAGAAUUCCUAGUGUAGCGGUGAAAUGCGUAGAUAUUAGGAGGAAUACCAGUUGCGAAGGCGACUCUCUGGACUGUAACUGACACUGAGGCACGAAGGCCAGGGGAGCAAACGGG